rnacentral:rRNA from 1 species
CACCUACGGGGGGCAGCAGUGGGGAAUAUUGCACAAUGGGGGAAACCCUGAUGCAGCGACGCCGCGUGAGUGAAGAAGUAUUUCGGUAUGUAAAGCUCUAUCAGCAGGGAAGAAAAUGACGGUACCUGACUAAGAAGCCCCGGCUAACUACGUGCCAGCAGCCGCGGUAAUACGUAGGGGGCAAGCGUUAUCCGGAUUUACUGGGUGUAAAGGGAGCGUAGACGGUGAUGAAAGUCAGAAGUGAAAGCCCGCGGCUCAACUGCGGGACUGCUUUUGAAACUGUAUGACUGGAGUGCAGGAGAGGU